rnacentral:lncRNA from 1 species
CCAAUAAUGAUUUCAAGAAUUUUAAUCAUAUUUUUCUUCCUCCCAACAAGCUAGGCAUUUCGAAUCGUGACUGUGACCAGUUUUACAAGUGCAUCACAUCCGUCUUCUCGAAGUCCAUGCCUCUCCACAUUUGCCUUGCAUAACUACCUCAAUGUUUCCGUUGUAGAAGACGCUCUGGUAUGGAUUCCUUCCACGGGAAGAUGAUAUAACCCACCAGAUCAAAUAUUCCAGGCUCUGCAACAGGGAGGAGUUUGAUCAAUUGCUCUGGUAUGGCUACGCUUUCCAUUUUCCAGUUUUUCUGUAUAUCACUCUCUCCUGCCGUGAACCACAAAACAUAUCACUCAACCUGAACAACAUUAAAAAGCUGAACUUUAAAACACAUCGAAAGAUCACUCCUUCUCUACACAGCUAAAGUCAGAAACAUUGGAUAAAACAGUAAACUUUACAAUUUAAAACGAAGUUUGUCUCCUAAAGAAAGCUAUUAAGUAAACAGAAUAAGAUUCAACUUUCAUGGCAAAUCCUUUCCAUCCACUUCAUCUACCAAAAAAAGAGAAAAAAUCAGAAUCAAACUUCAUGGCAAAUCCUUACCAUGGUCUUUUUCUAGCCUAUAUAAACUAUAUAUAACCCAUCAUCUUCAAAUCACAAACCUACAAAAAUAGAAAUAAUAUUCAUCAAGAGUUUCAACUAAGAGCAAAAUUCAGAUCUAAUAAAACUCAAACAAAACCCAGAUUUGUCUAUUCGACGGUGGUAAUCCUCCAUACAGCCUCUCCUCUCUUCCUCCACACUCCUCUCUGCUCCUCUACACCGUAUCGAUCCUCUGGUUCGUCUUCACACUUCGAUUAUUCAAACUUCACCAAAAUCAAAGCCACACAGAAGAGAUGAUGAGAAAGUAAAUAAUUUGUAGAUCUAAAAAGGAGGAGGGGAUUCAUUACCAUUAAUUGAUAGAAACGGUAGUGGAGAUGGAGAGACAUGAGAAGAGAUCUCCUGAUGGUGGAGAGACAUGGAGCAGAGAUCCGAGGGAAUAGAAGAACAGACGUGGAGAGCGAGAGAGAGAGACGGGAAGAGUAGAGACGUAAUAGCCGGAGAGGAGCGGAGCUGUCACGAAGUAGGAGAGGAGGCAUCACGGUGCUUAAUAACUUCACGUAGGAGAGAGGCAGAGGAGGAGAGGAGGUGUCACAAAGUUAUGAUCUGUAACUUAAAUGAAAUGCUAGUUUUUGGGAUGGUUGGACACGUGUCGUGCUCACAAAGCUCGACUUAUCUAGGUGGAAUCCUAGGUGUCCUAAGGAGAAGAGAACAAACUGUUUCUUUAUAUAUAAAAGAGUGUUUUGCUCUCUCCUGAGGCUGCCACCUAGGAUUCCACUUAGGAAAGUCGCUUCACGAGGAGUCAACACGUGUCCCGCCUCCUCGAAACACAGCGUUUCAUUAAAGGAAUCAGCGAU